rnacentral:rRNA from 1 species
UACGGAGGGUGCAAGCGUUAUCCGGAUUCACUGGGUUUAAAGGGUGCGUAGGUGGGCAAGUAAGUCAGUGGUGAAAUCUCCGGGCUUAACCCGGAAACUGCCAUUGAUACUAUUUGUCUUGAAUACUGUGGAGGUCAGCGGAAUAUGUCAUGUAGCGGUGAAAAUGCUUAGAUAUGACAUAGAACACCAAUUGCGAAGGCAGCUGGCUACACAAAUAUUGACACUGAGGCAACGAAAAGCGUGGGGAUCAAACAGG